AGAGCUCAUAGAUCCAAACAUUUUUUACUUUCAAAAUUCAAACCCCUCUCUCUAACUUCACUUCCCCCAAACACAAAAAAACCAAAUAUCCACUUCUAGGGUUUCGAAUUUCGAUCUCCAAAACCCUAAUUCCCUUCCCAUUCAUUCUCUAGGGUUUUGUGAGACAAUGCACAUCAAGGAGGUAUGCUUGGAAGGGUUCAAAUCCUACGCGACGAGAACCGUGGUCCCAGGGUUCGACCCGUUUUUCAACGCGAUUACGGGUCUCAACGGGUCCGGAAAGUCCAACAUCCUCGAUUCGAUUUGCUUCGUGCUCGGGAUCACGAAUUUGCAGCAGGUUAGGGCUUCGAAUCUUCAGGAGCUCGUGUACAAGCAAGGCCAAGCGGGAAUUACUAAGGCCACUGUGUCCAUCGUCUUCAAUAACUCUGACCGGACUCGGAGCCCGCUCGGGUACGAGGACCACCGCGAAAUCACUGUUACUCGACAGAUUGUGGUUGGUGGAAGGAACAAAUAUCUGAUCAAUGGAAAACUUGCCCAGCCUAGUCAGGUUCAGAAUCUUUUCCAUUCGGUGCAGCUUAAUGUUAACAAUCCACAUUUUCUUAUAAUGCAAGGGCGUAUUACCAAGGUUUUAAAUAUGAAACCCCCUGAGAUCCUGUCCAUGCUUGAAGAGGCUGCUGGUACAAGAAUGUAUGAGACAAAGAAAGAGUCUGCAUUGAAAACACUUGAGAAGAAGCAGAGUAAGGUUGAUGAGAUCAACAAGCUUCUUGACCAGGAAAUACUGCCUGCUUUGGAGAAGUUGAGGAAAGAACGGAUGCAGUAUAUGCAAUGGGCGAAUGGCAAUGCUGAGUUGGAUAGACUUAAAAGGUUUUGCAUUGCUUACGAAUUUGUUCAAGCAGAGAGGAUUAAAGAUAAUGCAGUAUGUGGGGUGGAACAGGUAAAGGCCAGGAUUGCCGAGACUGACGACAAUAUGGGAACUAUGCGGGCAGAAAUACAGGAGAUGGAGACUGAAGUAUCAAAAUUGACUGCUGAAAAGGAAGCAAGUAUGGGUGGGGAGGUUAAAUCUUUGUCGGAGAAAGUAGACGCUAUUUCUCAAGAUCUUGUGAGGGAAGUGUCUGCACUGAACAAUAAAGAAGACACUCUCAAAAGUGAAAAAGAAAAUGCUGAAAAGAUUGUUAAUAAUAUUGAAGAUUUGAAGCAUUCUGUGGAAGAGAAGGCCUCUGCUGUUAGAAAGGCUGAAGAAGGGGCAUCUGAUCUGAAAAAGAGGUUUGAGGAACUUACUAAGAGUUUGGAGGAGUAUGAAAAUGAUUACCAGGGUGUAUUAGCUGGCAAGAGCAAUGGAAAUGAGGAGAAAUGCCUUGAAGAUCAACUAGGUGAUGCCAAGGUAGCUGUUGGAAGUGCUGAAACAGAAUUGAAACAGUUGAAAACAAAAAUAAGCCACUGUGAGAAGGAGCUGAAAGAGAAAAGACGUCAGUUAAUGUCAAAACGUGAAGAAGCUGUUUCUGUAGAGAAAGAGCUUAAGGCUAGAACAAGUGAUGUGGAAAAUGUUAAGAAGGCAUUAGAGUCUCUUCCAUAUAAAGAGGGACAGAUGGAGGCAUUACAAAAGGAUCGUGCAUCUGAGUUGGAGCUGGUGCAGAAGUUGAAGGAUGAAAUACGCAAUCUGUCAGCACAAUUAGCAAAUGUUGAGUUCACAUAUCGUGACCCUAUGAGGAAUUUUGAUAGGUCAAAGGUAAAAGGUGUAGUGGCAAAGCUUAUCAAAGUAAGGGAUAGCUCCACGAUGACUGCCUUAGAGGUUACUGCUGGUGGAAAGUUGUUUAAUGUUGUUGUAGACACAGAAAAUACUGGGAAACAACUGCUUCAGAAUGGUGAUCUUCGAAGAAGAGUGACAAUUAUACCUUUGAACAAAAUACAAUCCCACGUUGUUCCCCCAAGGGUUCAACAUUCUGCUGUUAGAUUGGUAGGCAAUGAUAAUGCAGAACUGGCUCUUUCCUUGGUUGGUUAUGAGGAGGAGUUGAAGACUGCUAUGGAAUAUGUAUUUGGUUCAACCUUUGUUUGCAAGACUGUUGAUGCUGCAAAGGAGGUUGCUUUUAAUAGGGAAAUUCGCACCCGAAGUGUCACUCUUGAAGGGGAUAUAUUUCAGCCAAGUGGUCUUUUGACUGGUGGAAGCCGCAAGGGUGGUGGUGAUUUGUUAAGGCAACUUCAUCAUUUGGCAGAGGCUGAAUCAAAACUUUAUGCACAUCAGAAAAUGUUGUCUGAAAUUGAAGCAAAGAUUGCACAACUCAUGCCUCUUCAGAAAAAGUUCACCGGCCUUAAAACACAGUUGGAGCUUAAAUCAUAUGACCUUUCUUUAUUUCAGGGCAGGGCUGAGCAAAAUGAGCAUCAUAAGCUUGGUGAAUUAGUGAAGAAAAUCGAGUUGGAGCUUGAAGAAGCAAAAUCUGCGGCUAAGGAAAAGCAACUUGUAUAUGAAAACUGUGUAAAUACAGUUUCAUUGCUUGAGAAAUCUAUCAAAGAACAUGGUGAUAAUCGGGAGGGCAGGCUCAAGGAUUUGGAGAAAAAGAUUAAGGCAGUAAAAGCUCAAAUGCAGUCAUCUUCAAAAGCUGUAAAGGGGCAUGAAAAUGAAAAGGAGAGACUUGUUAUGGAAAUGGAAGCUGUUGUACAGGAACGUGCCUCCUUGGAGGCUCAACUAGUUUCUUUGAGAACACAAAUUGACAGUCUCACUGCUGAAUUAGAGGAACAAAAAGCCAAGGUUGCUGCCACUAGGAAUAAUCAUGAUCAAGCUCAAUCCAAACUCAAUUUGAUUCGACAGAAGAUGAAGGAAUGUGAUUCCCAAAUUAGUUGUAUUCUUAAAGACCAGCAGAAACUUCAACAUAAACUUAGUGAGACUAAUCUUGAGAGGAAGAAGAUGGAAAAUGAGGUCAAACGAAUGGAGAUGGAACAGAAAGAUUGCUCUACAAAGGUAGACAAGCUUAUUGAGAAGCAUGCUUGGAUUGCACCUGAGAAACAGCUAUUUGGAAGAAGUGGGACUGAUUAUGAUUUUGCAUCUCGUGAUCCUAUUAAGGCAAGGGAAGAACUUGAGAGACUGCAGGUGGAACAAUCUGGCCUUGAGAAAAGGGUGAACAAGAAAGUUAUGGCAAUGUUUGAGAAAGCAGAAGAUGAGUACAAUGACUUGAUGUCCAAGAAAAACAUCAUUGAGAAUGACAAGUCCAAAAUCAAGAAGGUCAUUGAAGAGCUAGAUGAGAAGAAGAAGGAAACACUAAAAGUUACUUGGGUAAAAGUUAACAGUGACUUUGGAUCCAUCUUUUCUACCCUAUUGCCUGGAACCAUGGCAAAACUAGAGCCUCCUGAAGGAUGCAGCUUCCUUGAUGGUCUUGAGGUUCGUGUUGCAUUUGGAUCUGUUUGGAAACAAUCCCUGUCAGAACUCAGUGGAGGCCAACGAUCUCUACUUGCACUUUCUCUAAUCUUGGCACUGCUACUCUUUAAACCAGCUCCGCUUUACAUAUUGGAUGAGGUUGAUGCAGCUCUUGAUCUAAGCCACACGCAGAACAUAGGGAGAAUGAUAAAAACUCACUUUCCACACUCCCAGUUUAUUGUGGUCUCAUUGAAAGAAGGCAUGUUCAAUAAUGCUAAUGUUCUUUUCCGAACAAAAUUUGUGGACGGUGUUUCUACUGUUCAAAGGACAGUUGCAGCUAAAUAGAGAAAGUGAUUGCUGUUGUCUUAGCAUUUAAUUCUAUUGUUCAUAUGGGUAUAUGACAUUCAAGCUGAUGAGAGCUAUGCAUUUUGCAGCUACCUCUUUAAUCCAGCCCGAUGAAGUUUGUUACUGCGAAAAGGAACUCUUGAUAUAUAGUUUGUAUAUUUGCUGUUGUAUUUGCAACACUAUAUUUCCUGAAUCCAUUGUUGACCAACCUCUUGUUGGAUGUACAUCAAGUUGUGCCUCUCUAAGACCUGCAGUCUCUAAAGCCUCUUAAGCAAUUUUUUAAAAUCCUUUUAGGUUUUGAAGUUGUCCUUAUGAGAUACAUCACUAAAGAAUAGUGCUACGUUUUAGUCCUUGAUUUUGGCUAAUUAGAUUUUAUUUUUUAAAAAGAUUGAGCAAGAAAGACAUCGAAUAAGCAGAAAAUGAAAGCCUAGUAGCCCUAUUGAGACUUGAGAGUGACAAUUAGCCAGAUGCAAAUUGUAUUUCGGCAUUGGAGCUUAGUAAUCGAAUUCCAAAGGAAUUCCAGAACAGGAAAACGUGAUAUCUAGUAAUUAAAUAACCAAGUUAGGUCAAGAACAAUAUUGUUGGAAUUUGGAUAUACUUUGUUAUAUUCCUUUACUAAAAAAAAAAAAAAAAUCUUUUGCUUCUUUAUGGCAGAAGAUAUGGUUGUAUAUUUCGGUGGAAGUUCAGUGCAAUCAAUGACAUUCCAGAAAAAGAAAAGGAAAUGAUGCCAUUGAAAAUGGUUUGAUUCAGCAGUAAAAAGUUUACCCGUGAUAGAUUGUGAUGCAGACUUGCAGAGGAUUGGACAUCCAUAUCUAAUUUUAAUCAUGACUCAAGCUAAUUGGUUUGUGUUUAUGAGCAUAAAGUUUUGAGUAAUUCUAUAGAGUCUAGACAAGUCAAAAAGCUACAACAAUUUCACAAUAUUUUUAUAUUAACAUGUCAGAAAAAUGUAGUUUAGAAAUGUUAUAAAAUUGUUGACUUUUUAUUAUAUCCCUUGCAUUAUUUUUCCAAGUCUUAAACUGACUGGGCAAAAUUAAAGUAACUUUCGAUGAGAUAAGAAAGUAGUAGGCAAAUUCCUUUUUUUUUUUACUAAGUGAUCUUUGGAGUAUAUACUUAUAUAGCCUAUUUAUAAUACCAUGCCCUAGAGAUGCGUUCAUGUGCCAAAACGAUGGCCUCUAAGAAGUUCAUCACUUGGGGGCUUCUCUUCAUUUUGAUGUUUCUGUUGGCCUCAGAAGCGGCAUCCAGGAAAGUACUUGAGACUUCCGAGCUUGGCAAUUCAAAGCCGAAAGGUGUCAUGGCGCCUCCAACAACACCAACACUCAGGAUCAAUUUUGGAGUAGGAAGUUAUGGUAAUAAGCAAUCCAGAAAGUCAUCAAUUCUAGAGGGGAACAAAAGUAAAGGCCCGAUACCUCCGACAGCACCAAAUCCUGGUGUCCAUUUACCCAAAACGCCUUCGGGUAGUCGAAUUUAAGUUGAGAUAUGUAGCACAUAAAUAAAAGAAGUGAAUGAAUUCUCUUCCUCCAUUACUUGGUGAUUUAAUAAGCUACAAACCUUUGAUGUUACAAGUUAUCCAAUAUAAAAGAAAACCAGCUAUCCAAUCUGAAAAUUCAUGCCAUGUGACUUGUGAUUAUGGUCGUUGUGAUGCACGUUUAGUGCACAUUAUUGUACCUUUGGAAUUCUAUUAAACUUUUUCAAUAUAAAUAUGGCCUCUCGAAUUUUGUUGUUGAUAA